rnacentral:rRNA from 1 species
UACAGAGGCCUCAAGCGUUGUUCGGAAUCACUGGGCGUAAAGCGCACGUAGGCGGCUUUUUAAGUCGGUGGUGAAAUCCUGGAGCUCAACUCCAGAACUGCCUCCGAUACUGAAAGGCUCGAGUCCGGGAGAGGUGAGUGGAACUGCGAGUGUAGAGGUGAAAUUCGUAGAUAUUCGCAAGAACACCAGUGGCGAAGGCGGCUCACUGGCCCGAUACUGACGCUGAGGCACGAAAGCGUGGGGAGCAAACAGG